GAUGAAGAACGUAGCGAAAUGCGAUACGUAAUGUGAAUUGCAGAAUUCAGUGAAUCAUCGAAUCUUUGAACGCAUAUUGCGCUCUCUGGUAUUCCGGAGAGCAUGCUUGUUUGAGUAUCAGUAAACACCUCAACUUCCAUAUCUUUUUUGAAAUGGGAGUUGGACUUGAGUGAUCCCAACGCUUUUCCUCACCGAAAAGUGGCGGGUUACUUGAAAUGCAGGUGCAGCUGGAAUUUUCUCUGAGCUAUAAGCAUAUCUAUUUAGUCUGCCUAAAAAACAGAUUAUUACCUUUGCUGCAGCUAACAUAAAGGAGAUUAGUUCUUGUGCUGACUGAUGCAGGAUUCACAAAGACGGCUUCGGCCGACUUUGUAAACUCGAUCUCAAAUCAAGUAAGACUACCCGCUGAACUUAAGCAUAUCAAUAAGCGGAGGA
rnacentral:misc_RNA from 1 species